AUGGUGCAAAAGUACAAGCCAGUGCCAAUGAACCUGGACAGUUGGCAAAUCACGUCCUUAACUCAGGUGUGGUUUAGAGGAGAGACAGCUUGCAGAGAACUGAAGAAGAUGGAAAAGAAGUGCCUGCUGAGAGUCGUGCCAUUUGUUGGGGACAGCCAGAGGAUGUUGACUCUACUGCCUUCCCUGCAGGAGUCUUCUGUGCAUUGAUGCUCACUGCAGCUGUGUCCGAUUUCCUGAAUGGUGUGCAAGGUGACCUUCCAAAGCCUCUCUCCGCGCUGAGCUAAGGCUUUGCUGGUGCAGCAGGAGCCAAGUACAUCACUCCCCACAGCUUCUGCUCCGGACUCCUUCAUCAACACUGAGAACAGCGAUCCACCCUCCUCUGGCCUGAUAUCCAAAUCCUGGUGUGGGGAAAGAGGGGUAUCCUCCUUCAGCUUCAGAGGGAAUGAAAGUCAAACCAACAGAAAUAUGAUGGCAGCAUCCUGGUACAGGGAAUGCUUCUGGAUGUACCAAUGGAACUCAGGCAGUGUCUUCUAGUCUGAAUUCAGCUGAUGAACAAAUGUUGCUUGUUUUUGCCAGAACUUCAUCUGUUCCUCCCCACAUUUCUUCCAGUUGUUGUUGACCAUGAAGUACUGCAGUGUGUCAUCACUGUUCCCAGCUGUGAACAAACCUGCAGUGCUUCUUCCUGUUAGGUAAAUGACCCAGGGGACCUUGAGAUAAAUUAGCUGAUUAGUCCUGAAAUGUAUUCAAAAAGCCAAACUGGCUCAUUAAGAGGCUGUCAAUCAAGAGUAAGACUCACAGGAAAGAAGGCUCAAAUGAUGAAUAGACCAAUGUUGUGGUUCAGUUUCCCUUGCUGUCCAGGUGAAAAGUCUAUUUUGAGUGCCUCACAGCUAUUUUCUGGCCUACAGCUUGGGCUUUCCUUUCAUGGAAACCAGGUGAGAAGCUAAAGAAGAGGGUGCAGAAAGCUGAUGUUUCUCUGCUGUGUCAUCUCAGUUGGGCAUGGACAAGAUACAUGUAUGGGCCACAGAUGUGCUCCUGAGUUUGAAUGAAACCAAUACUCCUGGGAGAGAUCUGAAAUUGAAACUGGUUUUCAGAGACCAAGAGAAGAUGGUGUAUUAAAAAAAUAGCUGGACAGCAGGGAGCUAAUAAAUCAUGAUGACUAUUGUCA
rnacentral:lncRNA from 1 species